GAUGAAGAACGUAGCGAAAUGCGAUACGUAAUGUGAAUUGCAGAAUUCAGUGAAUCAUCGAGUCUUUGAACGCACAUUGCGCCCCCUGGUAUUCCGGGGGGCAUGCCUGUCCGAGCGUCAUUGCUGCCCUCAAGCCCGGCUUGUGUGUUGGGUCUCGUCCCCCUUCCCGGGGGGACGGGCCCGAAAGGCAGCGGCGGCACCGCGUCCGGUCCUCGAGCGUAUGGGGCUUUGUCACCCGCUCUGUAGGUCCGGCCGGCGCUUGCCGAUCAACCAAAACUUUUUUCCAGGUUGACCUCGGAUCAGGUAGGGAUACCCGCUGAACUUAAGCAUAUCAAUAAGCGGAGGA
rnacentral:misc_RNA from 1 species